rnacentral:snRNA from 1 species
AAAGGUGAGGGUGAUCAGAAUAUGACAUCUGUCAUCACACUGGUCUCCAGGACUGACUUUGCUAGUCUAGCUCGAUAGGCAGCUGUCCCCUUCCUCCCUUGCUGCUCCAUGUGUCGCUCCCAAAGGUGCAAAUUUAAAGAGGAUAGCCUUCCCUGACAGGGGGCUGGGAGUGUCUGUGC